rnacentral:antisense_RNA from 1 species
GCGAGGCGAGGCCUGCGGAGCGGAGGAAGACAAACAUAAAGAUGAAGUGCUUAAUUCAAGGUCACACAAUGUCGGGGAUGGACCUCCAGAUUUCCUUACUGACCUGCAUUAUCUUGUGGAUACCUGAGUGAAUUCCACACCACCCAUUUUAUAGAUGAAACCACUGAGACAUGGAGCAACUGACUGAGUAGUCACUGCCCCACCCCUGCCUGGAGCCUCACACAUGACUCGUCUCCUCUCAGUGACCACAGGUUGGUUGAGGGGUUUAACAAGGCUAAGAAGGUGAGACGUGGUCUUGUAACACAGUGGUUAAGAAUGUGACUUUGGAGCCAGCCUGCUAGGGGCUGAAUUCUGACUCAGCCAUUUACUAACUGUGUGACCUUAGGUGGGUUCCCAAGCCUGUAAAAUGUAAGCCUUAUGCUGCUGAGGGCCAUCUUGCCACCCUGAGGGAAACGCUGCCUGAGAAUGAAACCAGCAUAAGUAAAAGCUGAGCUGUGAGAUGGAGCAAGAUGAAGGCCACAUGACAUCUUUGGAGCACCUGGAUCUAACUGUGCCUUAAGCUAGUCUAACCCUGAACAUUUCAUCAUUUCAUUGACAUGAGCCCAGGUUUUCUUUUUUUUUGGAUGGAGUCUUGCUCUGUCGCCCAGGCUGGAGUGCAGUAGCUCAAUCUCGGCUCACUGCAAGCUCCACCUCCCGGGUUCACGCCAUUCUCCUGCCUUAGCCUCACAAGUAGCUGGGACAACAGGCGCCCACCACCACUCCCAGCUAAUUUUUUGUAUUUUUAGUAGAGACGGGGUUUUACCGUGUUAGCCGGGAUGGUCUUGAUCUCCUGACCUCAUGAUCCGCCCGCCUCGGCCUCCCAAAGUGCUGGGAUUACAGGCGUG